ensembl:lncRNA CADM2-AS1 CADM2 antisense RNA 1
GUUCUCAUUGUUCUUAAAUAAGUUAGAAGAGAGUACCUGUAUCCUGGAUCUUUUGAACUUCUGUGAAGUAAUGUGACAAUACAGAUACUUACUGAUCUGAUUCGGGAUGUUCCUGAGAAAACAGGCUCCCUAGUUCCUGAGACAUUGACAUUAGGCCAAUUAAGAAUCCUACAAUGAUCUCUAAGUAUUCAAAUGAAAGGAGGUGGCACACAUUUCUAACUUUGAAUCAGAAGCUAGAAAUGAUGAAGCUUAGUGAGGAAGGCAUGCUGAAAGCCACGAGAGGCUGAAAGCUACACGUCUUGUGCCAGUCAAGUUGUAAAUGCAGACAAAAAGUUCUUGAAGGAGAUGAAAAGUGCUACUCCGGUGGACAUGUAAAUUAUAAGGGAGCAAAACAGCCUUAUUGCUGAUAUAGAGAAAGUUUAAGUGGUCUUGAUUAAGACCAAAUCUGCCACAGCAUUCUCUUAAACCAAAGCCUAAUCCAGACCAAGGCCCUAACUCUCUUCAAUUCUGUGAAGAUUGAAAGACAUGAAGGAGCUGCAGAAAAAAAGUCUGAAGCUAGUGGAGGUUGGUUCAUAAGGCUUAAGAAAAUAGGUCAUCUUCAGAACAUAGAAGUGCAAGGUGAAGCAACAAGGGCUGAUGGAGAAGCUAUAGCAUGUUAUCCAGAACAUCUACCUAAGAUCACUAAUGAAGGCAGCUGCACUAAGCAACAGCAUUUAAAUGUAGAUGAAACAGUCCUCUAUUGGAAGAAGAUGCCAUUUAUAACUUUCACAAGUAGAGAAUAGAAGCCAGUGCCUGACUUCAAAGCUUCUAAGAACAGAUUGACUUGCUUGUUAGGGGUUAAUGCAGCUGGUGAUUUUAAGUUGAAACCAAUGUUCAUUUACCAUUCUGAAAAUCCUAAGGCCUUUAAUAAAUAUACUAUAUCUAAUCUGUGCUCCAUCAAUGUUAUAACAAGGCCUGGGUGUUAGCACAUCUAUUUAUAGCAUGUUUUAUUGAAUAUUUUAAGCUCAAUGUUGAGACUGAGACCUACUGCUCAGAAAAAGAAAAAAAAAAAGAUUCCUUUCAAGAUAUUACUGCUCAUUGACAAUGCAUCUAGUUACCCAAGAGCUCUAAAGGAGAUGUAUAAGGUCAUUAAUGUUGUUUUCAUGCCUGUUAAACACAACAUCCAUUCUGUAGCCCAUGGAUCAAGGAAUAAUUUUAACUUUCAAAUUUUGUUAUUUAAGAGAUACAUUUUUUAAAGCUAUAGCUGCCAAGACAGUGAUUCUUCUGAUGAAUCUGUGCAAAGUAAAUUAAAAACCUACUGGAAAUGAUUCACCAUUCUAGAUGUCAUUACGAUCAUUUGUGAUUCCUGGGAGGAAGUCAAAAUAUCAACACUGGCAGGAGUUUGGAAGAAGCUUAUCCCAAACUUUAUAGAUGACUUUGAGACAUUCAAGACUUCAGUGGUGGAAGUAAGUGCAGAUAUGGUAAAAAUAGCAAGAUAACUAUAAGUAGAGCCUAAAGAUGUGAGUGAAUCACUGUAAUCUCAUCAUCAAACUUAAUGGAUAGGGAGUUGAUUCUUAUGGUGGAGCAAAUAAAAUGAUUUCUUAAGCUGAAAUCUACUCCUGGUGAAGAUACAGUGACCAAUGUUUUUAUUUUGCUUUUAUUUUUUGUUUGUUUUGAAUUUUUUGCAGAAUCAAGGUCUUGCUAUGUUGCCCACGGUGGUCUUGAACUCCUGGCCUCAAGCAAUCCUCACACCUUGGCCUCUCGAAGUCCUGGGAUUAUAGGCAUAAGUCACUGUGCCUAGCCCUGUGAAGAUUGCUGAAAUAAUCACAAAGGAUUUAGAAUAUUACAUAAAUUUAGUUGAUAAAGCAAUGGAAGGGUAUCAGAGGAUUGACUUUAAUUUUUAAAGCAGUUCUACUGUGGAUAAAAUUUCAUCAAACAGAAAUCGCACAGAAAUUUUCAGGAAAAGAAUAAUCAAUCAAUGUGUCAAACCUUAUUGUUGUUUUAUUUUAAGAAAUUGCCUUACCACUCUAACCUUCAGCAAUCACUCACUGAUCAGUCAGCAGCCAUCAACAUCAAAGCAAGAUGCUCCAGCAGCAAAGAAAUUACAACUCACUGAAGACUCAGACGAUCAUUAGCAUUUUUUAGUAAUAAAACAACUUUAAAUUAAGGUACGUACAUUGUUUUUAUGGACAUGAUGCUAUUGCACACUGAAUAGACUAUGGGAUAGUUAACUUUUAUAUGCACUAAGAAACAAACAAAAAUGUGUGAGACUCAUGAUAUUGUAAUAUGUGCUUUAUUGCGGUGAUCUGGAACUGAACCCAUGAUAUCUCCAAAGCAUGCCUGUACUUUAAAUAUACACAUGAAAACUUAAACUUAUCUGUAUUCAAAUGUUUCACUAUAGUUUUAUACCUAACAACAAAUGCAAAAAAUAUUGUAAAAUUAUUAUUCUUAUAAAUUUAGAAAAAUAAAAUGACUCCAUAUAUUAAUAUUUUCAUAUUCAGAGGAAGGUCAUUAAAACUUACUAAAAACUUAAGAAAUACAGAAUUACAAUUAUUGACAUAUUAAGAUGAUCAUGACAUAAAUGAUAAAAAGCAUGCAAAAUAAAAAUAUUUCACAUCAAUUUUUUUGUAUAAGCAGUACACAUGCAUAUGUUUAAAAUAAAAUCUCUGAGAAUAUU